GUGGGAAUACACAACCUCCCCUUCCCUUUUCCCUGUAUGUUGGGUGAUGAGCAUUAUUGCUGAAUGUAGGACAACAUGGUAUUUCAGAGUAUAGACCAUGGUUCUGUGCUGGUGGUCCAUCCUAAACUGAUACUUCUGUGGUGCCUUCACUGUUGCCGUUAGUCAUUUCUGUUAUACAUCUCAGUGUGAGAAAACAUUACGAAGUAGGUAUUUUUCUGAGAUAGUGCCUUUUCUAACUGGCAGUUGUAUAUUAUACUAGGUGUAUGCUACCAUGGGCUGUUAUUAGUAUGUUAGGGAGCACAAAAAGUGACUUCAUCUAACUCACUGCCAAGCUAGAACUUCUCACAGCCUUCAGAUGGGCACAAAAAAAAUAAGAGAAGGCACUGCUCAGGUCUCCCAGCUUUCUCCCUGAUGAGUUUCGGGGCAAUCCAUGUGAUUCUUGAUCUCAGAAAUACGUGGAAAAUAACUUAGAACAGCACCCUGUGUGAGGGAGCCCUGAUCCAUGACUUGGCUACCAGGUACCGGGAUAAUACAAGUGGUAAUCAUGCCUGCUGCUAAACGUUUUCUACCUUAUUUCCAUUUGCAUUUGUUUGCCUUCAGCUUCCAGUCAUUGAUUCUUGUUAUGCCUUUCUCUGAUAGAUUAAAGAGCUCUUUAGUACUCACUAUUUUCUCUCCAGGAAGGUGCUUUUACACUGUAAUCAGAUUACUUCUCAGACUAUUUUUUUUCUUAAAGCUAAAGAUAUGUAUGGUGUUCAUUAUACUUUUUUCCUCAUCUCUGAAUUAUUUUUUGUCUCUUUUCUAUUCCUUCUCUAAUUUUUCUAUUAAAAAAAAGACAUAAAAGUGUAUUUUACUGGUCACAUACACAGAAGCAAUUACUUCACUAGUUGCUCCUAUGUUGGUACGGUGAGAAAUCUAUGUUUUUUUAAGGGCAAGUAAAAUAAACAUCUAUUUAAUGACUUCAGUACAUCUGGGUGUAUAAUUAUCAAACAGAAGAGGAUGGAUUGUUUUAUUAAAAAUGGAAAUGCUUCAGAAGGUCUGUUGAUUCAGAAAAAGUGUGCAGGAGAGGCUUCAAAAGUAUUUGUGCUGAGGAUUUUAAGGAGAUGGAGAGAAAUAAUAACGUCUUGAAAACGGAUGAUAGCUCAAAACCUUAAGUACUAUGGACUACGUGAGAUGUAUUUUUUCUUGUCAGAAUUUUGUAGGAUCAAAUGGAGAACUUUUGUGACAGUCUGGGCUACUGGAAAUAAAUGUAUGGAUGUGAAUAUAUGCAUCCCUUACACCCAUUUAGUUCUGUGAAUAGUCAGUUGCUUAUAUUUGGAAGCCCUAGAACAGUUACAUGAUCUAAAUGUUAUGCUGUAAUAGAAGAAAUAAGGUAGUGUCAAGAAUUUUGUUAUAAGAGCAAUCACCAUUAUGCCAUAUGAGACUUCAAACAAUUAAAAUCCUCAGCUUCAAGGAAGUUCUUGAAAGUUUUACUGCCGCUCUUCAUUUUGAUUUUUAUUCAUACUUCAGUAAAAUGGUGAGUUACAUUUGCCUUAAAGGAGUCUGAUACCUGUGUGGUUGAAGCAUCUUGACCUACCUGAUGACUUUUAUGCAUAUCAGCAUCUGGGAGAAUCCACACUCCCAGAUCCACCCAUAUCCCUCGUGGAAACCAUCAGAUUUACAUGAAGUUGAACCAGAGACUGUUUAAAUAGUGC
rnacentral:lncRNA from 1 species